CCCUUAGAUGUUCGGGGCCGCACGCGCGCUACACUGAAGGAAUCAGCACGUCUUUCUCCUUGUCCGAAAGGACUGGGUAACCCGCUGAACCUCCUUCAUGCUAGGGAUUGGGGCUUGUAAUUCUUCCCCAUGAACGAGGAAUUCCCAGUAAGCGCGAGUCAUAAGCUCGCGUUGAUUACGUCCCUGCCCUUUGUACACACCGCCCGUCGCUACUACCGAUUGGAUGGUUUAGUGAGAUCCUCGGAUUGGUCCCGGAGCGGCCUCUGGUCGUGCCGGAGUGCCGAAAAGAAUGUCGAACUUGAUCAUCUAGAGGAAGUAAAAGUCGUAACA
rnacentral:rRNA from 1 species